rnacentral:rRNA from 1 species
UUGACCUCGGAUCAGGUAGGAAUACCCGCUGAACUUAAGCAUAUCAAUAAGCGGAGGGUUAA